UAUUCUGCCCCAUGGGGAAGGAUGAGAAGCUUCGACUAAGGUUCGACUCGAGCGAAGCGAGAGAACGUUGCCGCAGGCAACGGCCCGAAGGCGAGGCGCUUUAGCGCCGAGUAAUCCUUCCCCCACCACUG
rnacentral:sRNA from 1 species